GACGAACGCUGGCGGCGUGCCUAAUACAUGCAAGUCGAACGCACAGUUUAUACCGUAGCUUGCUACACCAUAAACUGUGAGUUGCGAACGGGUGAGUAACGCGUAGGUAACCUGCCUGGUAGCGGGGGAUAACUAUUGGAAACGAUAGCUAAUACCGCAUAAUAUUAAUUAUUGCAUGAUAAUUGAUUGAAAGAUGCAAUUGCAUCACUACCAGAUGGACCUGCGUUGUAUUAGCUAGUAGGUGAGGUAACGGCUCACCUAGGCGACGAUACAUAGCCGACCUGAGAGGGUGAUCGGCCACACUGGGACUGAGACACGGCCCAGACUCCUACGGGAGGCAGCAGUAGGGAAUCUUCGGCAAUGGACGAAAGUCUGACCGAGCAACGCCGCGUGAGUGAAGAAGGUUUUCGGAUCGUAAAGCUCUGUUGUAAGAGAAGAACGGGUGUGAGAGUGGAAAGUUCACACUGUGACGGUAUCUUACCAGAAAGGGACGGCGAACUACGU
rnacentral:rRNA from 1 species